rnacentral:rRNA from 1 species
UACAGAGGGGGCAAGCGUUGUUCGGAAUUACUGGGCGUAAAGGGCGCGUAGGCGGCCUUCUAAGUCGAACGUGAAAUCCCUGGGCUCAACCCAGGAACUGCGUCCGAUACUGGAAGGCUUGAAUCCGGGAGAGGGAUGCGGAAUUCCAGGUGUAGCGGUGAAAUGCGUAGAUAUCUGGAGGAACACCGGUGGCGAAGGCGGCAUCCUGGACCGGCAUUGACGCUGAGGAGCGAAAGCCAGGGGAGCAAACGGG